rnacentral:rRNA from 1 species
CCUACGGGGGGCAGCAGUGAGGAAUAUUGGUCAAUGGACGCAAGUCUGAACCAGCCAUGCCGCGUGCAGGAAGACGGCUCUAUGGGUUGUAAACUUCUUUUAUAUGGGAAUAAAAUGUUCCACGUGUGGGAUUUUGUAUGUACCAUAUGAAUAAGGAUCGGCUAACUCCGUGCCAGCAGCCGCGGUAAUACGGAGGAUCCGAGCGUUAUCCGGAUUUAUUGGGUUUAAAGGGAGCGUAGGUGGAUUGUUAAGUCAGUUGUGAAAGUUUGCGGCUCAACCGUAAAAUUGCAGUUGAAACUGGCAGUCUUGAGUGCACACAGGGAUGCCGGAAUUCAUGGUGUAGCGGUGAAAUGCUUAGAUAUCAUGAAGAACUCCGAUCGCGAAGGCAAGUGUCCGGGGUGCAACUGAUGCUGAGGCUCGAAAGUGCGGGUAUCAAACAGGAUUAGAUACCCCUGUAGUC